CGGACGGGUGAGUAAUGUCUGGGAAACUGCCUGAUGGAGGGGGAUAACUACUGGAAACGGUAGCUAAUACCGCAUAACGUCGCAAGACCAAAGAGGGGGACCUUCGGGCCUCUUGCCACCGGAUGUGCCCAGAUGGGAUUAGCUAGUAGGUGGGGUAACGGCUCACCUAGGCGACGAUCCCUAGCUGGUCUGAGAGGAUGACCAGCCACACUGGAACUGAGACACGGUCCAG
rnacentral:rRNA from 1 species